GAUGAACGCUGGCGGCGUGCCUAAUACAUGCAAGUCGAGCGAACGGACGAGAAGCUUGCUUCUCUGAUGUUAGCGGCGGACGGGUGAGUAACACGUGGAUAACCUACCUAUAAGACUGGGAUAACUUCGGGAAACCGGAGCUAAUACCGGAUAAUAUUUUGAACCGCAUGGUUCAAAAGUGAAAGACGGUCUUGCUGUCACUUAUAGAUGGAUCCGCGCUGCAUUAGCUAGUUGGUAAGGUAACGGCUUACCAAGGCAACGAUGCAUAGCCGACCUGAGAGGGUGAUCGGCCACACUGGAACUGAGACACGGUCCAGACUCCUACGGGAGGCAGCAGUAGGGAAUCUUCCGCAAUGGGCGAAAGCCUGACGGAGCAACGCCGCGUGAGUGAUGAAGGUCUUCGGAUCGUAAAACUCUGUUAUUAGGGAAGAACAUAUGUGUAAGUAACUGUGCACAUCUUGACGGUACCUAAUCAGAAAGCCACGGCUAACUACGUGCCAGCAGCCGCGGUAAUACGUAGGUGGCAAGCGUUAUCCGGAAUUAUUGGGCGUAAAGCGCGCGUAGGCGGUUUUUUAAGUCUGAUGUGAAAGCCCACGGCUCAACCGUGGAGGGUCAUUGGAAACUGGAAAACUUGAGUGCAGAAGAGGAAAGUGGAAUUCCAUGUGUAGCGGUGAAAUGCGCAGAGAUAUGGAGGAACACCAGUGGCGAAGGCGACUUUCUGGUCUGUAACUGACGCUGAUGUGCGAAAGCGUGGGGAUCAAACAGGAUUAGAUACCCUGGUAGUCCACGCCGUAAACGAUGAGUGCUAAGUGUUAGGGGGUUUCCGCCCCUUAGUGCUGCAGCUAACGCAUUAAGCACUCCGCCUGGGGAGUACGACCGCAAGGUUGAAACUCAAAGGAAUUGACGGGGACCCGCACAAGCGGUGGAGCAUGUGGUUUAAUUCGAAGCAACGCGAAGAACCUUACCAAAUCUUGACAUCCUUUGACAACUCUAGAGAUAGAGCCUUCCCCUUCGGGGGACAAAGUGACAGGUGGUGCAUGGUUGUCGUCAGCUCGUGUCGUGAGAUGUUGGGUUAAGUCCCGCAACGAGCGCAACCCUUAAGCUUAGUUGCCAUCAUUAAGUUGGGCACUCUAAGUUGACUGCCGGUGACAAACCGGAGGAAGGUGGGGAUGACGUCAAAUCAUCAUGCCCCUUAUGAUUUGGGCUACACACGUGCUACAAUGGACAAUACAAAGGGCAGCGAAACCGCGAGGUCAAGCAAAUCCCAUAAAGUUGUUCUCAGUUCGGAUUGUAGUCUGCAACUCGACUACAUGAAGCUGGAACCGCCAGUAAUCGUAGAUCAGCAUGCUACGGUGAAUACGUUCCCGGGUCU
rnacentral:rRNA from 1 species